rnacentral:tmRNA from 1 species
ACUACGAGGGCUACGCUCUCGCUGCGUAAGCGGCGCGACUAGUCCUUCUGGUAGCUUCGGCUCCAGCGAUCACUAGGGGAUGCCUGUAAACCUGAAGUGAUUGUCAUGCAGAACAGGAUCGCCGCGUAGUACGUUGUGGACAAAGCGGCUAAAACUUACACAACUCGUCCAAAGCACCCUGCCCGUCGGGCGGCUGAGGAUUAACUCAAUAGACACGGCUAAGCAUGUAGUACCGAAAGUGGAGAACUGGCGGACGGGGGUUCAAAUCCCCCCGGCUCCACCA